rnacentral:rRNA from 1 species
ACUCUAAGCGGUGGAUCACUCGGCUCAUGGGUCGAUGAAGAACGCAGCAAACUGUGCGUCAUCGUGUGAACUGCAGGACACAUGAACAUCGACAUUUUGAACGCAUAUCGCAGUCCAUGCUGUUAUGUACUUUAAUUAUUUUUAUAGUGCUGCUUGGACUACAUAUAGUUGAGGGUUGUAAGACUUUGCUAAUUAAGUUGUUUAAAAUUUUUCGAAAUUUUAAGCAUAUGGUAUAUUAUUGGAUAGAUUAUGUGUGUCCCUGAUAUGCAUAAUAUAUUCAUAAUAUUAAUAUAUAUAUGGAUGUACUACUCAUUGUAUAUUUGUAUGAGAAAAUUGAAGAAUUAUAUUUUCUUUUUUAAAUCAAAUAAUACUGAGGAAUGUCUAGCAUAAAAGAAAAAUAAAUUUUUCCUUCAUCUAGAAUUGUCUCUUAUUAAUGAUGUGUGAUAAAAGAAUUCUUGUAAAAUUUAUUGAACUUCAGAACAAAAGUAUUACCCAUUGAACAAUAAAAAAAGUUCAGUUAACAUUGUUUUAUACAACCUCAACUCAUAUGGGACUACCCCUGAAUUUAAGCAUAUUAAUUAGGGGAGGAAAAGAAACUAACAAGGAUUUUCUUAGUAGCGGCGAGCGAAAAGAAAUCAGUUCAGCACUAAGUCACUUUGUCUAUAUGGCAAAUGUGAGAUGCAGUGUACGGAACAUCAAUAUUCUAGUAUGAGAAGUUAACGAUUUAAGUCCUUCUUAAAUGAGGCCAUUUACCCAUAGAGGGUGCCAGGCCCGUAUAACGUUAAUGAUUACUAGAUGUUGUUUCCAAAGAGUCGUGUUGCUUGAUAGUGCAGCACUAAGUGGGUGGUAAACUCCAUCUACAACUAAAUAUAACCAUGAGACCGAUAGUAAACAAGUACCGUGAGGGAAAGUUGAAAAGAAUUCUGAAUAGAGAGUUAAAUAGUACGUGAAACUGCUUAGAGGUUAAGCCCGAUGAACCUGAAUAUCCGUUAUGGAAAAUUCAUCAUUAGAAUUGUAAUAUUUUAAACAAUAUUAUAAUAAUAGUGUGCAUUUUUUCCAUAUAAGCACAUUGUAAUCUAUUAGCAUAAAUAUUUAUCAUAAAAUUAUGUCUGAUUGCUUAUUUGAAUUAUAUGUUUGCAUUUUAACAUAAAAUAAAAGAUAUAAAUUUGAUAAAGUGCUGAUAGAUUUAUAUGAUUACAGUGCGUUAAUUUUUCGGAAUUAUAUAAUGGCAUAAUUAUCAUUGAUAUUUGUGUUUAUUAUGCAUUUGUAUGAUUAACAAUGCGAAAGAUUCAGGAUACCUUCGGGACCCGUCUUGAAACACGGACCAAGGAGUCUAACAUAUGUGCAAGUUAUUGGGAUAUAAACCUAAUAGCGUAAUUAACUUGACUAUUAAUGGGAUAAGUUUUUUAACUAUUUAUAGUUAAUUAACGCAAUCCCGGGGCGCUCUAUAUAGUUAUGUAUAAUAAUAUUUAUAUUAUUUAUGCCUCUAACUGGAACGUAUCUUGAGCAUAUAUGCUGUGACCCGAAAGAUGGUGAACUAUACUUGAUCAGGUUGAAGUCAGGGGAAACCCUGAUGGAAGACCGAAACAGUUCUGACGUGCAAAUCGAUUGUCAGAAUUGAGUAUAGGGGCGAAAGACCAAUCGAACCAUCUAGUAGCUGGUUCCUUCCGAAGUUUCCCUCAGGAUAGCUGGUGCAUUUAACUGUUGUAUAAAAAUCUUAUCUGGUAAAGCGAAUGAUUAGAGGCCUUAGGGUCGAAACGAUCUUAACCUAUUCUCAAACUUUAAAUGGGUAAGAACCUUAACUUUCUUGAUAUGAAGUUUAAGGUUAUGAAUAAUGUGCCCAGUGGGCCACUUUUGGUAAGCAGAGCUGUCGCUGUGGGAUGAACCAAACGUAAUGUUACGGUGCCCAAAUUAACAACUCAUACAGAAACCAUGAAAGGCGUUGGUUGCUUAAAACAGCAGGACGGUGAUCAUGGAAGUCGAAAUCCGCUAAGGAGUGUGUAACAACUCACCUGCCGAAGCAACUAGCCCUUAAAAUGGAUGGCGCUUAAGUUGUAUACGUUUGGCGUAAGCCUGCAUGGAGCCGCUAUUGGUACAGAUCUUGGUGGUAGUAGCAAAUAAUCGAAUGAGACCUUGGAGGACUGAAGUGGAGAAGGGUUUCGUGUGAACAGUGGUUGAUCACGAGUUAGUCGGUCCUAAGUUCAAGGCGAAAGCCGAAAAUUUUCAAGUAAAGAAAAAUCUAAAUAUAUUUGUCAUCUAACCGAUUUUUAUACACUUGAAUAACUUUGAACGAAAGGGAAUACGGUUCCAAUUCCGUAACCUGUUGAGUAUCCAUUUGUUAUUAAAUAUGGGCCUCGUGCUCAUCCUGGCAACAGGAACGACCAUAUCGGAAGAGUUUUCUUUUCUGUUUUAUAGCCGUACUACCAUGGAAGUCUUUCGCAGAGAGAUAUGGUAGAUGGGCUAGAAGAGCAUGACAUAUACUGUUGUGUCGAUAUUUUCUCCUCGGACCUUGAAAAUUUAUGGUGGGGACACGCAAACUUCUCAACAGGCCGUACCAAUAUCCGCAGCUGGUCUCCAAGGUGAAGAGUCUCUAGUCGAUAGAAUAAUGUAGGUAAGGGAAGUCGGCAAAUUAGAUCCGUAACUUCGGGAUAAGGAUUGGCUCUGAAGAUUGAGAUAGUCGGGCUUGAUUGGGAAACAAUAACAUGGUUUAUGUGCUCGUUCUGGGUAAAUAAAGUUUCUAUCAUUUAUGGUAGUUUCUUGUUCCCCGGAUAGUUGAGUUACGUAGCCAAUUGUGGAACUUUCUUGCUAAAAUUUUUAAGAAUACUAGUUAGGCAACCAAUUAGUUCUUUUAAAUUAUAACGAUUAUCAAUUAACAAUCAAUUCAGAACUGGCACGGACUUGGGGAAUCCGACUGUCUAAUUAAAACAAAGCAUUGUGAUGGCCCUAGCGGGUGUUGACACAAUGUGAUUUCUGCCCAGUGCUCUGAAUGUCAAAGUGAAGAAAUUCAAGUAAGCGCGGGUUAACGGCGGGAGUAACUAUGACUCUCUUAAGGUAGCCAAAUGCCUCGUCAUCUAAUUAGUGACGCUCAUGAAUGGAUUAACGAGAUUCCUACUGUCCCUAUCUACUGAAAUCUAGACCAGAGGCAGAUGAAGGCGUUGCUGGAAGAAGGCAUGUGCUCCGAGUGGCAACGGAGAUGGGAUAGUGAUGAGCACGGUCGACCGACUCAUCAGUUUAUCCCGGACGCAUGCUUCGUUUACAGCCGGCGAGACUUUGGAUUCGGUCUUCACGCUGGAUUCUUGCUGACGGGCCACGGGUCGCUAAAUGCAUUUCUGCAUCAGAGAAGUCUGAGUGCAACGCCCGCAUGUCAAUGCGGUGCUGAGUAUGAAGACUGGCAGCACGUGCUAGUUGCUUGCCCACUCUAUGCAGAUCUGCGAGACCUCGACGGACUUAGUGUCAGGAGAGAAGGUACCCGUUGGGACUUUUCCCGGGUCUUGGAGACACCAGAGCGGCUGUUACUCCUGGAGAUGUUUGCGCGGGCGGUGUUUACUAGACGGCGGCGAGGGAUGGAGUGAAGUACAGCCACACAGGGCCGACCAGUGCCGGGCUGACGUUAGCCAAAACUGGGAGUGGCAUGGACUGUGUCACGAAGCCGAACAGAGCUUAAUCUGGUAGACAAACCCCUUGGGGUAAGUCGAACAAUGGAUGACCCAUUCCGUGUUUGUCGUCAACAAAACUGGGAAGUGGCAAUUGCUACGAACUGCCGACCAAAGCUGUAAUUUGGUACCACGGGUAACCAGGAGCCCACGGAACUUGUUCCGUCCUGGUUAGUUGGUGCGGCCCUUCGGGGAGUAUCGUGGUGGCUGUGGUUCGAUACCCAAUUGU